rnacentral:rRNA from 1 species
AAUCGGAGGAAAAGAAACCAACAGGGAUUGCCUUAGUAACGGCGAGUGAAGCGGCAAAAGCUCAAAUUUGAAAUCUGGCACCUUCGGUGUCCGAGUUGUAAUUUGAAGAAGGUAACUUUGGAGUUGGCUCUUGUCUAUGUUCCUUGGAACAGGACGUCACAGAGGGUGAGAAUCCCGUGCGAUGAGAUGCCCAAUUCUAUGUAAAGUGCUUUCGAAGAGUCGAGUUGUUUGGGAAUGCAGCUCUAAGUGGGUGGUAAAUUCCAUCUAAAGCUAAAUAUUGGCGAGAGACCGAUAGCGAACAAGUACAGUGAUGGAAAGAUGAAAAGAACUUUGAAAAGAGAGUGAAAAAGUACGUGAAAUUGUUGAAAGGGAAGGGCUUGAGAUCAGACUUGGUAUUUUGCGAUCUUUCCUUCUUGGUUGGGUUCCUCGCAGCUUACUGGGCCAGCAUCGGUUUGGAUGGUAGGAUAAUGACUAAGGAAUGUGGCUCUACUUCGGUGGAGUGUUAUAGCCUUGGUUGAUACUGCCUGUCUAGACCGAGGACUGCGUCUUUGACUAGGAGUGGCA